GUUAAUGUAGCUUACAUAAAGUGUAGUACUGAAAAUACUAAGACAGAUUUUAAAAUAUCUCGUGAACA
rnacentral:tRNA from 1 species